rnacentral:rRNA from 1 species
AUGCAAGUCGAACGGUGAAGCUCCCAGCUUGCUGGGGGUGGAUCAGUGGCGAACGGGUGAGUAACACGUGGGCAACCUGCCCCAGACUCCGGAAUAAGCGCUGGAAACGGCGUCUAAUACUGGAUAUGAGAUCAAGCCGCCUGGCUAUGGUCUGGAAAGUUUUUCGGUUUGGGAUGGGCUCGCGGCCUAUCAGCUUGUUGGUGAGGUAAUGGCUCACCAAGGCGACGACGGGUAGCCGGCCUGAGAGGGCGACCGGCCACACUGGGACUGAGACACGGCCCAGACUCCUACGGGAGGCAGCAGUGGGGAAUAUUGCACAAUGGGCGAAAGCCUGAUGCAGCGACGCCGCGUGAGGGAUGACGGCCUUCGGGUUGUAAACCUCUUUCAGCAGGGAAGAAGCGAAAGUGAUGGUACCUGCAGAAGAAGCACCGGCUAACUACGUGCCAGCAGCCGCGGUAAUACGUAGGGUGCGAGCGUUGUCCGGAAUUAUUGGGCGUAAAGAGCUUGUAGGCGGUUUGUCGCGUCUGCUGUGAAAAUCCGGGGCUCAACCCCGGACUUGCAGUGGGUACGGGCAGACUAGAGUAUGGUAGGGGAGACUGGAAUUCCUGGUGUAGCGGUGAAAUGCGCAGAUAUCAGGAGGGACACCGAUGGCGAAGGCAGGUCUCUGGGCCAUUACUGACGCUGAGAAGCGAAAGCAUGGGGAGCGAACAGGGAUUAGAUACCCUGGUAGUCCAUGCCGUAAACGUUGGGCGCUAGGUGUGGGACUCAUUUCCACGAGUUCCGUGCCCGCAGCUAACGCAUUAAGCGGCCCCGCCUGGGGA